GGUCACAGCUCCUAUAAAGACACAAAGGCUGCAGCUGCCGCGGCGUCGCACAGCGCUGCUGCUGCACGGCUGCUCGUCAGCAAUGUGGAGCUGCGUCUGAAGGAACGCGUUUGCUAUGGUGCUUCGGUGAGGAGUGUUACUGGUUGAGGUACUGUCCUGCGUUCUAAUCCAGGCUUCAUCCGGCGAGCUGAUGCUGCAGGAGCGCGAGCCGGGGAUGCGAUUGGCCGGUUGGGUCUUUGAAUCCCGGAUUCAGAUUUAAAAGACGACAGCAGUAGUGACGUCGACAAAAGGUUUCCCAAGGGGACGCUACUGAGAAGCUGGCUCACCAAGUCGCGGCCCAGGUUGCUGCUGCUGAUCGCAGGGUUGAAGAGGCCUCAGGUGACCCUCAUGAGGAGGAAAAGGAUGAAGCGAACAAAAGUAGCAAAGGCCACGUAAGCGAACCUGCAGUCGGAUGCCCCACUUCACCUGAGUCCUUAACGGAGAGGAUCUGCUCGUUAGAUAUGGAAGACAAAGAAAAGGAAGACCCGUGUGUUGGAUCUUUGCCCCAGCGACGAACUAAAAUCCAGGAACCACAAAACAGAGUGAAGCCAGAGGACGAACCACAGAGAUUGAGACCUCCAGACUAAUCCGGAUUACACCUAGACCUGGACUACCAGCUUCACCCGCUUUCUUCAACUACACAUCUGUUUUGGCUCAUUAGAUUGUAAUGACUUGUCUAUCAUUCCUCACCAAAGAGAAACUGUUGUUAGAACAAACCCAGCUGUGCUCUUAGUUCAGACUCUUUCAGGUUUGCAGGUGUUUGAGUCUCAGAAGAGUCCGAACCAGCUGCUGAUUAAACUCUUGACGGGAUGCCAACUCCUGCCUCACAUUCUUCUGUCGGAUCAAAACGAGUAGCUCACUUCCACACAAUGCGUAGCUUUACGUGACACACACCAAGAAAUGUGACCGUGUGCAGCGUCGGCAUUCAGACGCAAGGUUGCUAAUCGUGCUUGGCACCGUUUGCAAUAGAAAUGGAUCAAAAUUAGCUUAAUUAUCUGCGCUGUCGUUGCGGGACACGCACGUUAAUGACUUUGAAGCCCUUAAUUGAAUAAAUGAGACACAUUUGCAGACUGGAUCUUCUAGGUUUUAAACUUAAUGUGUGUUUUUCAAAUUGAAUUUUUUUAUAAAGUGGGUAAAAUAGGUUUAGGAACAAAACGCUACAUUUCCGUCGUGUUUGUCUGUACGUAAUCGUAGCCACACCACCGGCGUGUCCGGAGAAAUUAGCUUCAUGUGGGACGGCUGGAUCUCGCUGAGCCAAGCGUCCAACUAAUAUUCUCAACAAGCUUCAGGAAAUGAGGGUUUGCGACAUGUUUUUUCCGCCUGGGUAAGAUGUGUUCCCACUGCUUGUUGCAACAGCGGUUACGCUGCUGAAAAAUGUACACAAACUUAAAUGGCAUCUUGCCGAAAACAUCCUUUUACUAGUUACUGAACUUCGUUGGUUGAGGAAAGUCCCAGUCGGAAACAUAUCAGGUACUGGAACAUCUCCACACUGAAGAACAGGGACGUAACGGUGUGCUUAAAAACUAGCUUGAUUUAUUUGAAGCAUUAUGUGGAGGAAAGAAUUAUUAAAUAAAAUGGAAACUUUUUUUUUUAAGUGGAGCCUUCAGAGUCCCAUUUUGUUAUUUUAGCUAAGGAACUUUCAACACCGCGGAUAGAUCAGGAUUUUAUUUAAAGCCCACAUUAGAAUACUUUUUGUUUAGCUAGCUAGCUAGCUAGCUGUGUGGCAGACGGUGCCGAUGGCUACGCCGACUGAAAUCUGACCGUGAGAACUUCGGUGGUGCUUUUCUUACCAACUAUUUUACAUUUCUCCAGAUUGAGGUGUUCGUGUGGUUACGUGAUAUUAGUCCACACCUCGUCACGGUAGAUAUCUGGCAGUGACUUGGCUAUGAUGGAUUCACUUCAAAACAAAUAAAACACAUCCAACACGCUGAAUCUAACAUGGUAACACUUUAUAUUAAGCUCUCUACUUCUUGUAGUUUUUAUUGCACUGUCAUUCAACGUUUAAAAAAAGGACCAAAACUAAAAGGAUUUAAAGAUAUCUGAAGAAUGUCUAUUCCAGGCCAUUUUUAAAAUCUUCAUAGUGACAUCCAUCAAGGAAACCUAAUCUUUGUUGGCCAUAUCGACUUGCUGUAAAAAAGUGAUAUGAGAAAAUAAACUACUGCCUUAAUAUAAAGUGUCACCGAAUAUUUGUAUUGAUUAAUGGAAAGUCUAAAAUGAAAUGACGUGUGAUCCAGCAGCACAUUUCAGAAGGGUCUGAUAUCUUGACUCUGGUGGUGUAUUUACUGCUUGGUGCUUUACUUUGCCAUGUUGAGCAGCAGAUAUGUUGCUACGCUUUGUUGAAAAGUCAGUUCUGUUACAGAAAACUCAAACCAAACUUUCAGAUUGUUUAAAUAAAGUACUGGGAACUUUUUUUUUAGAAAAUCUGCAUGGUCCAGCUACCUAGUUAGCUAGCUACCUACAUACCUUGUUAGCAUAAAGCAGGUUAAAGCUAACUGCUAUUGCUACUGAGCGCUCUUUACACCGUGUCACUUCCCCAUCGCUCCUCUCGAACAGAUUGGGACAAUUAACAGCAGCGUGGCACUACCUCUACUCUGCCAAUAAAGCUCACAGCUAUAGAAUAAUAACUAAAACUGCGAAACAUAACACGUAAAACUAAAGCUGUGGUUGUGAGAUGUAUACAAUUUUGGAAAUGAAAUUAAUUUGGGCAGAAUUAACUGGCAAAAACAACAUAAUCAUGAUGGCUGAACCUUUUUGCUAACGGCGGGCUAAUUCAUUUCGUCACACUUUUGUAUUUCGGCGAUUCAGAGCUGUUUUAGUUAACCGCCCACGUCACAGUUUACGUGAAAAUGCGCUAAAGUUUGUUAGGUAACAAGACAUUUGUUAGUUGACGCUAAGCUAAACAGGGCUGUCACUUUUUCUUCUGUCGUUACUUUAGUUGCAUUUUACACAGUCAGCAAACCUUUAUCCAAGAUUUCUUCCAUCUGUGGUGUCAAAUCCAAAAUGCUUCUAUACGUCACAGAUGGUUUGGUGUUAAUAUUAAUAAAUAAUAGUUCGUUCAGCACUGCUAGCUAGUUUUGUCCAUUUUGCGUUAACAUUUUACUAACAUACCUAGAUGGAAUAAGGCACAACCAGUUUUAAAGUUGGACAGAUGAUUAACACGUUGAAAUGAUACUGAAUUCUGAGUAAAAAGCGGCAGCCCCUUAGCUAACCAGUAUAGCUAAUGACCAGAGGUCGAGGAUAUGAGCGAGGAAUGUUUCCUGAUGAUGAAUAAAGGUUUGAUAAAACUGUAUGAUGUGUGGUAGAAGUAAUGCAUCAGUAACUGUGAUGGAGGGCCUAUCAGGGAGGGAUGAGUGGGAAACAGGCAACUAGCUAACUAUGCUACCAGUUUCUGUACAUCUUAGCUUUAGAAAACAGCUGGCUAACUACACUACCAGAUGUUUAUCGUGUUAGCGUUAAUAAAUGAUCACUUCUUACCAUUUUACAAGGUUUUUACAGGAGACUGUGUAAGUCAGCCUGCUAACACCCUGACAUGCUAACAUGCUAGCUAGAAGUUUCUUGUUUAGCCAGAAAACUCUUCAGUAAAUAUGCGUUGUUUAACUGUUGACUGUAUGUUUCAAUAAUUUUACAACUCAAACAAGACACUUUGGUUCUUAGCUACUAGCUAUUAGCUACUCCCUUUCCAUCUAGCGUCAAAAUGAACGGGGGCGAAGGUUUAGCUACAGCUAAUUCUCCCACUGGUUGUUUCUGCUCUUGGGGUUCCUCUGUUCUGCACUGCUGUAUUUGUUGAGGUGAUUCUGAUCGUUUUGAACUUGAAAAAUAAAAGUGGCUAGCUGUAUAUAGCCUAGCAUCCGAGCAUGUCAUGACUUCAUAUUAUAGUUAACAACUGUAUUCACUGCAGUGAGAUGUAGAAGCAGCCUUUACAGAUGUUUUGAUGGUGAAAAUGUAUUGUGAUUGAAUCUCGCAGUGCUUCUUUAUGGUCUGACCAGCUGCAUUUAGUAGAAACAUUUAUAAUUAAUUAAAAAAAAAGAAAUACUA